GAAUCCUAUCAGUGUUUGUGGUAAAAUGGCAGAAGCCAGAGUUGCAGUGGAUGUAAACGAGUUCAGCUGUCCAAUCUGUCUGGAUCUACUAAAGGAUCCAGUGACUAUUCACUGUGGACACAGUUACUGUAUGAGCUGCAUUAAGAGCUGCUGGGAUCAGGAGGAUCAUGUUGGAGUUUACAGCUGCCCCCAGUGCAGACAGACCUUCAUACCCAGACCUGUUCUGGGCAGAAACACCAUGCUGGCUGAAGUGGUGGAGAAACUGAAGAAGACUGGACUACAAGCAGCUACUCCUGCUGACCAGUAUGCUGGACCUGGAGAUGUGGAGUGUGAUGUCUGUACUGGGAGAAAACACAAAGCUGUCAAGUCCUGCCUGGUGUGUCUGGCCUCCUACUGUGAAACUGACCUGCAGCUUCACAAUAAACUCCACCAUGCAAAACAGCACAAGCUCAUUGAUGCCACCGGCCAUCUGAAGGACAAGGUCUGUUCCCAGCAUGACAAACCCCUGGAGGUCUACUGCCGUACCGACCAGCAGUGUAUCUGUUAUCUCUGUACGAUGGAUGAACACAGAGGCCAUGAUACAGUCUCAGCUGCUACAGGAAGGGCGGAGAUACAGAAACAAAUGGGUGAAACACAGAGGGAAUUUCAGCAGAGAAUUCAGAUGAGAGAGAAGGAGCUGCAGGAGCUGAGAGAGGCUGUGGGCUCAAUCACAACCUCAGCACAGUCAGCAGUGGAGGAGAGCGAGAGGAUCUUCACUGAGAUUAUCAGCUCCAUUGAGAGAAGACGCUCUGAGGUGACAAAGCUGAUCAGAGAUCAGGAGAAGGCUGCAGUGAGUCAGGCUGAAGGAGAUAUGGAGAGACUGAAGCUGGAGAUUGAUGAACUGAAGAGGAGACACUCUGAGCUGGAGCAGCUUUCACACACAGAGGAUCACAUCCAUUUCCUCCAGAGGCGCCAGGCUCUUCCUGUCACUCCUGAAGCUGGAUUUGGACCCAGAAUCUCUGUCUGUCCAAGAUCUGAUUUUGGGAAUUUGAGGAAGGCGGUUUCUGAGCUGAAAGACCAACUGGAGAAUGUUUGCAGAAUGAAAAUGGCAGAGAUCCAUCACCCAGUUACCAAAGACACCGUCCUACCGGUAUUAGUGCCCAGGACCAGAGCAGAAUUCUUACUAUACUCCUGCCAGCUGACGCUGGAUCCCAACACAGCAAACAGCCGCCUGUCUCUGUCAGAUGGGAACAGGAAGGCGACAUGGGGGGCAGAGCAGCCAUAUCCUGAUCAUCUAGAGAGAUUUGACUGCUGGCGCCAAGUUCUGUGCAGAGAGAGUCUGACUGGUCGCUGUUACUGGGAGGCUGAGUGGAGUGCAGAUGGAGCCUGGAUAGGAGUGACUUAUAAAGGAAUCGGGAGGAAAGGAGGGAGGGCUGACUGUGGGCUUGGAUUCAAUGACAAGUCAUGGAUGCUGAGCUGCUCUCCUGACAGUUACUCUGUCUGGCACAAUAAUAACCAGACUGUCAUACCCAUAAAGCCCUCAGGCUCCCGCAGAGUAGGAGUGUAUCUGGACUGGGCGGCUGGUACUCUGUCCUUCUACAGAGUCUCCUCUGAUGGACUGACCCUCCUGUACAGCUUCACCUCCUCAUUCACUGAACGACUCUGUCCAGGGUUUUGUGUUUAUCCAAACUCCCCCGUGUCGCUGUGCAUGCUGGGAUAGCUCACUGUGUGCUGGAGCAAUCAUUUUUACCUUAUCAGAGUGUCACAUGUCGCUGCUUCUCCACGGCAAAAAGGCUGUUGUAAGAUCAUCCCUGGGUGCAUCAAACUUGUGGACCACUGCCUGCAAGGGAGCGGAAAUUGACUGGAACCCUGUCAUAAGCAAAGUUUGAGCCUCAUAAAUUUGUUUAGAAUCAAUGUUUCUAAUUAAAUAGUUUAAUUUCUGUAUUUUACUUGUAUACCACAUACAUAAAGCACAAUGAGCGCUUAAAAUUUCAAUUCACAGGGUAAAACGUCAAAUAAAGUGUUUUAACAGAAUAUUUCAUGUAAUUUCAAGGUCACAGCAAAGUUGCCCUGCAGCCUCAUCGGCAAAGAGCAGGAAACUGAUGAUGUUUCAAUGAUCCGUGUGUUGGCCAGUGAAACUGACAAUGUACUGUAUAUUGGGAAAUUUUAAAAUUUAUUAUAAACACAGUACUGUAUAUUAAUCUGCAAAACAGUCUGAAACUUAACUGAGAUACAGAGGUUAUACACUGAUCAGCCAUAACAUCAUAAUAGGUGAAGUGAAUAACAUUGAUCAUUUGGUUACAGUGCAAUCUGGCUGUGGGGGGGUUAUAUUAGGCAGGAGGUGAACGUUUUGUCCUUGAAGCUGAUGUGUUGGAAGCAGAAACAAUGUGCAAGUGUAAAGAUGGGAGUGACUUUGACAUGGGCCAUUUGGUGAUGGCUAGAGAGCUGGAUCAUAGUGUCUCCAAACCCUCAGCUCUUGUGAGAUGGUCCUGCAGUGGUCAGCAGGUUCAUGGUGGGGCCCAGGCUCACUUUUGUGCCAAAAUAGCCUUGACUCGUCAGGGCGUGGAUUCCGCUAGACCUCUGAAGGUUUGCUGUACUAUCUGGCAUGUAAUGAGCCUCCGUUACCCGUUCACAUAUUUUCCUUCAGUUUUGGAGAUGAUAUGAGUCAUCUAGCCAUCACAACUACGCCCUUGUCACUCAAAUCUUUAGACUUGCCCAUUUUUCUGCAUCCCAGUAUAUCCUACACAUUGUUUAUUUGCUGCCUAAUAGGUCCCACCCACUACUAGGUGCAGUGGUGCUACAUGGUGGUGCAGUGGUUAGCACUGCUGCCUCACACCUCUGGGACCCGGGUUCGAGUCUCCGCCUGGGUCACAUGUGUGUGGAGUUUGCAUGUUCUCCCCAUGUUGUCGUGGGGUUUCCUCCGGGUACUCCGGUUUCCCCCCACAGUCCAAAAACAUGCUGAGGCUAAUUGGCGUCGCUAAAUUGCCCAUAGGUGUGCAUGUGUGAGUGGAUGGUGUGUGAGUGUGCCCUGCGAUGGGCUGGCCCCCCAUCCUGGGUUGUUCCCUGCCUCGUGCCCAUUGCUUCCGGGAUAGGCUCCGUACCCCCCGCGACCCAAUAGGAUAAGCGGUUUGGAAAAUGGAUGGAUGGAUGGAUAUCAGUAAUUUAACCAAAUUCCAAAAUAAUAAAUGUGGACUGGAAAUAAUGGAGGCUAUUGCUUGUGAGGAGUGAAUUGAACUUAAUUUUGAACAAUGUUUCAAAUUGCUACAUACCUAAAAUGUUUGUGGUUUCUUGUAGAAAGAACAGAAGCACUUGAGGUUUGCCUCCAGGACAUCACACCUCCAUUAAAGCACCUUUACAAAGCAGGAGAAAGAGUGAGGUGGAGGUAACAACACAUAGAUGGGUCAAGUAAGCAGCAGGAGCAAGGAGCAGAAGAGGAAAUAGGAAAGAAGAAGGGAGAGGAAAAGAGAGAGAGAGGAGAGAAGACAGAUGAGGAGGAAAAAGCAGUGGAAGAAGGAAGCAACAAACGUAAAGGAGGAAGAGGCUAUGAAGACGGAACUUAUAGCCCAGCGAAGGCUUUCCAAGCCCAAGGGGGCAAGCGGCCGGUAAAAGGAAGGAAGCAACAAAUGUAAAGGAGGAAGAGGCUGUGAAGACGGAGCUUAUAGCCCAGCGAAGGCUUUCCAAGCCCAAGGGGGCAAGUGGCCGGUAAAAGGAAGGAAGCAACAAACGUAAAGGAGGAAGAGGCUGUGAAGACGGAGCUUAUAGCCCAGCGAAGGCUUUCCAAGCGCAAGGGGACAAGCGGCCGGUAAAAGGAAGGAAGCAACAAACGUAAAGGAGGAAGAGGCUGUGAAGACGGAGCUUAUAGCCCGGCGAAGGCUUUCCAAGCCCAAGGGAGCAAGCGGCAGGUAAAAGGAAGGAAGCAACAAACGUAAAGGAGGAAGAGGCUGUGAAGACGGAGCUUAUAGCCCAGCGAAGGCUUUCCAAGCCCAAGGGGGCAAGCGGCCGGUAAAAGGAAGGAAGCUUUUCUCAUUGUAAUUCAUUCAUGCAUGAUAAUAAAACGAUACGUUUAUCAU